rnacentral:rRNA from 1 species
CCUACGGGUGGCAGCAGUGGGGAAUAUUGGACAAUGGGGGGAACCCUGAUCCAGCCAUGCCGCGUGUGUGAAGAAGGCCCUCGGGUUGUAAAGCACUUUCAGUGAGGAAGAACGCCUGGUGGUUAAUACCCAUCAGGAAAGACAUCACUCACAGAAGAAGCACCGGCUAACUCCGUGCCAGCAGCCGCGGUAAUACGGAGGGUGCGAGCGUUAAUCGGAAUUACUGGGCGUAAAGCGCGCGUAGGUGGCUUGAUAAGCCGGUUGUGAAAGCCCCGGGCUCAACCUGGGAACUGCAUCCGGAACUGUCAAGCUAGAGUGCAGGAGAGGAAGGUAGAAUUCCCGGUGUAGCGGUGAAAUGCGUAGAGAUCGGGAGGAAUACCAGUGGCGAAGGCGGCCUUCUGGACUGAAACUGACACUGAGGUGCGAAAGCGUGGGUAGCAAACAGGAUUAGAUACCCUGGUAGUC